GCUAUAAAGACCGACGCACCAACAAGACUAGUCUUAGUCCCUCUGGUGACCUUAGCUGACCUGUACUUCUUGGAAUCAACGUCAUGACCAAGGCUUCACUUCUUGCCGUUUUGCUCCUGACCGCGCUGCUGCUGGCGCCGGCGACGGAGGCGCGACCGCAGUGGUCGAGCCGAAGAGGGUCAUCAGCAGUUUCGGCGGCCUCAGCGGCGGCAGGAGGCGCAUCCGCCUCGGCUUCGGCUUCGGCAGCAGGAGGAUCGGCAGCAGCAUCGGCGGCUGCGACUUCCUCCCUUUAUGGAUAGCAGGAGGAGAGUAAGAGAAGAAGGACAAAGAGAACAACGAAAAGGAGGAGAGAGGGACGAGACAUUGGGGGAGGCUGGUGGGAACUAACAAUAAAUUACCGUUUAAGCCCG